rnacentral:rRNA from 1 species
UCAAGCUACAAAGAGCGCAAGGGGAAUGCCUUGGCACCAAGAGCCGAUGAAGGACGCGACUAACUGCGAAAAGCCACGGGAAGCCGUAAGUAGGCAUUGAUCCGUGGAUAUCCGAAUGGAGCAAUCCGGCCGAAGUCAUGUUCGGUCAUCAUAUACUGAAUAAAUAGGUAUAUGAGGGGAACCGCCUGAACUGAAACAUCUAAGUAGGGCGAGGAAAAGAAAUCAACAGAGAUUCCGCUAGUAGUGGCGAGCGAACGCGGAAGAGGCCAAACCAGAGGUAGUAAUACCUUUGGGGUUAGGACCGGCAAUAUGUAUUGUUUAAGUUUAGCAGAAUGGUGUGGGAAAGCCAACGAAACAGUGUGAGAGUCACGUAUGCGAAAAGCGAGAACAGCUAGCCGAGUUCCAGAGUACCGCGGGACACGAGAAAUCCCGUGGGAACGUGGGGGGACCAUCCUCUAAGCCUAAAUACUACUUGGUGACCGAUAGAGAAUAGUACUGUGAAGGAAAGGUGAAAAGCACCCCGGGAGGGGAGUGAAAUAGAACCUGAAACCUUGUGCUUACAAGCACCGAGAGCCCGUCAAUGGGUGAUCGGGUACCUUUUGUAGAAUGGUCCGGCGAGUGAAUGUAUCUGGCAAGGUUAAGCACUUAAGGUGCGCAGCCGCAGCGAAAGCGAGUCUUAAUAGGGCGCAUGAAGUCAGAUGUAUUCGACCCGAAACCGGGUGACCUACCCAUGUCCAGGUUGAAGUGGAGGUAAAACUCCAUGGAGGACCGAACCGACUCCCGUUGAAAUGGUAGCGGAUGAGAUGUGGGUAGCGGAGAAAUUCCAAUCGAACCCGGAGAUAGCUGGUUCUCUCCGAAAUAGCUUUAGGGCUAGCCUUGAAAUAGAUUACCGGAGGUAAAGCACUGAAUUGGCUAGGGGCCGAGAGGUUACCGAACCUUAUCAAACUAAGAAUGCCGGAUAAUUGUUUUUCAGGAGUCAGACAGUGGGAGAUAAGUUUCAUUGUCAAAAGGGAAACAGCCCAGACCCACAGCUAAGGUCCCAAAGUAUCAUUAAGUGGAAAAGGAUGUGGAGUUGCACAGACAACCAGGAUGUUGGCUUAGAAGCAGCCACUCAUUAAAAGAGUGCGUAAUAGCUCACUGGUCGAGUGACUCUGCGCCGAAAAUUUAACGGGGCUAAAUGAUACACCGAAGCUUGGGAUGGUGAGCAAUUAACAAUUAACGAUUAACAAUUAACAAUUGAGGAAAAAGAGAUGAAAACAGAGAAUCUGAUAUUAAGUAAGAGUAUGGAUUUUGCAGUACGAAUUGUGAACCUAAACAGAUACUUAGUUGAAGAAAAGAAAGAGUAUGUAAUCUCGAAGCAGCUACUUAGAAGCGGAACAAGUGUAGGAGCAAACGUAAGAGAAGCCAAGUAUGGAGCAAGCAGAAGAGAUUUUGCAGCGAAAAUGGGAAUUUCAUUAAAAGAAAUUUCAGAAACAGAAUACUGGCUGGAGCUUUUGUUCAGAACAGAAUAUCUUUCCGAAGAACAAUACAAAAGCAUAAUAUGCGAUUGUAGUGAAGUAGCAAAAAUAAUAACAUCAAUUGUUAAGAAUUCAAAGGUUGAUUAGAAAAGAAAAUGAAAUUAACAGGGAACUGUUAAUUGUUCAUUGUUAAUUGUUAAUUGCUCACCGUGGUAGGAGAGCGUUGUAUGCGGGGUGAAGUCACAGCGGAAGCGGUGGUGGACUGCAUAGAAGUGAGAAUGCCGGAAUGAGUAGCGAGAAAUAUGUGAGAAUCAUAUUGGCCGAAAGUCUAAGGUUUUUGGAGGAAGGUUCGUCCGCUCCAAGUAAGUCGGGAGCUAAGGUGAGGCCGAAAGGCGUAGCCGAUGCACAUACGGUUGAUAUUCCGUAACCACCAAAAGAUUUAAACACAGGGACACCUUUAAAGGGCAUAACCCGGGCGAUGGUUGACUCGGGCGUAAGGGACCGAAAUUAAGUAGGGAAGUAUGCUUGGCAGAGGGCGAGAAAAGCUGUGUGAAUAUCUAAGGUGCCCGUACCGCAAACCGACACAGGUAGACAGGAAGAGAAUUCUAAGGCCAACGGGAGAAGGGUAGUUAAGGAACUCGGCAAAUUGACCCCGUAACUUCGGGAAAAGGGGUGCUGGUGC